rfam:Loxodonta africana unplaced genomic scaffold scaffold_80, whole genome shotgun sequence.
GCACUGAUGGUUCAGUGGUAGAAUUCUUGCCUUCCAUGGAAGAGACCCGGGUUCGAUUCCCGGCCAAUGCU